rnacentral:rRNA from 1 species
GACGAACGCUGGCGGCGUGCUUAACACAUGCAAGUCGAACGGAAAGGCCCUGCUUUUGUGGGGUGCUCGAGUGGCGAACGGGUGAGUAACACGUGAGUAACCUGCCCUUGACUUUGGGAUAACUUCAGGAAACUGGGGCUAAUACCGGAUAGGAGCUCCUGCUGCAUGGUGGGGGUUGGAAAGUUUCGGCGGUUGGGGAUGGACUCGCGGCUUAUCAGCUUGUUGGUGGGGUAGUGGCUUACCAAGGCUUUGACGGGUAGCCGGCCUGAGAGGGUGACCGGCCACAUUGGGACUGAGAUACGGACCAGACUCCUACGGGAGGCAGCAGUGGGGAAUAUUGCACAAUGGGAGGAAGCCUGAUGCAGCAACGCCGCGUGCGGGAUGAUGGCCUUCGGGUUGUAAACCGCUUUCGCCUGUGACGAAGCGUGAGUGACGGUAAUGGGUAAAGAAGCACCGGCUAACUACGUG